UACCUGGUUGAUCCUGCCAGUAGUCAUAUGCUUGUCUCAAAGAUUAAGCCAUGCAUGUCUAAGUAUAAGCGACUAUACUGUGAAACUGCGAAUGGCUCAUUAAAUCAGUUAUGGUUUAUUUGAUGGUACCUUGCUACUUGGAUAACCGUAGUAAUUCUAGAGCUAAUACAUGCAGGAGUUCCCGACUCACGGAGGGAUGUAUUUAUUAGAUAAGAAACCAAACCGGUCUCCGGUUGCGUGCUGAGUCAUAAUAACUGCUCGAAUCGCACGGCUCUACGCCGGCGAUGGUUCAUUCAAAUUUCUGCCCUAUCAGCUUUCGAUGGUAGGAUAGAGGCCUACCAUGGCGUUAACGGGUAACGGAGAAUUAGGGUUCGAUUCCGGAGAGGGAGCCUGAGAAAUGGCUACCACAUCCAAGGAAGGCAGCAGGCGCGUAAAUUGCCCGAAUCUUGACACAGGGAGGUAGUGACAAGAAAUAACAAUACAGGGCUAUUUUAGUCUUGUAAUUGGAAUGAGUACAAUUUACAUCUCUUCACGAGGAUCAAUUGGAGGGCAAGUCUGGUGCCAGCAGCCGCGGUAAUUCCAGCUCCAAUAGCGUAUAUUAAAGUUGUUGCAGUUAAAACGCUCGUAGUCGGAUUUCGGGGCGGGCCGACCGGUCUGCCGAUGGGUAUGCACUGGCCGGCGCGUCCUUCCACCCGGAGACCGCGCCUACUCUUAACUGAGCGGGCGCGGGAGACGGGUCUUUUACUUUGAAAAAAUCAGAGUGUUUCAAGCAGGCAGUCGCUCUUGCAUGGAUUAGCAUGGGAUAAUGAAAUAGGACUCUGGUGCUAUUUUGUUGGUUUCGAACACCGGAGUAAUGAUUAACAGGGACAGUCAGGGGCACUCGUAUUCCGCCGAGAGAGGUGAAAUUCUCAGACCAGCGGAAGACGAACCACUGCGAAAGCAUUUGCCAGGGAUGUUUUCACUGAUCAAGAACGAAAGUUAGGGGAUCGAAGACGAUCAGAUACCGUCGUAGUCUUAACCAUAAACCAUGCCGACUAGGGAUUGGAGGAUGUUCCAUUUGUGACUCCUUCAGCACCUUUCGGGAAACUAAAGUCUUUGGGUUCCGGGGGGAGUAUGGUCGCAAGGCUGAAACUUAAAGGAAUUGACGGAAGGGCACCACCAGGAGUGGAGCCUGCGGCUUAAUUUGACUCAACACGGGGAAACUUACCAGGUCCAGACAUUGUGAGGAUUGACAGAUUGAGAGCUCUUUCUGAUUCGAUGGGUGGUGGUGCAUGGCCGUC
rnacentral:ncRNA from 1 species